GACGAACGCUGGCGGCGUGCUUAACACAUGCAAGUCGAACGAAGUGGCGAACGGGUGAGUAACGCGUAAUCAACCUGACCUUCAGAGGGGGACCACAGUUGGAAACGACUGCUAAUACCGCAUACUGAAGGAGGGGAUUGCGUCUGAUUAGCUAGUUGGAGGGGUAACGGCCCACCAAGGCGAGGAUCAGUAGCCGGGCUGAGAGGAUGAACGGCAACAUGGGGACUGAGACACGGCCCAGAAUCCUACGGGAGGCAGCAGUGGGGAAUUUGGGACAAUGGGGGCAACCCUGAUCCAGCCAUCCCGCGUGUGCGAUGAAGGCCUUCGGGUUGUAAAGCACUUUUGGCAGGAAAGCGGUACCUGCAGAAUAAGCACCGGCUAACUACGUGCCAGCAGCCGCGGUAAUUC
rnacentral:rRNA from 1 species